rnacentral:misc_RNA from 1 species
GAUGAAGAACGCAGCGAAAUGCGAUAAGUAAUGUGAAUUGCAGAAUUCAGUGAAUCAUCGAAUCUUUGAACGCACCUUGCACCCUUUGGCAUUCCGAAGGGUAUGCUCGUUUGAGUGUCAUUGUACUCUCACACUCUCCGAUCCUAUGGAUUCGGGGAGCGGUGGACUUGGGUGUUGCUGCCUUUCCCUGUGGCUCACCUCAAAUGCGUCAGUGCACCUCUUGGUUGGACAUAGUACGGCGUGAUAAGUGUCUUCGCCGGCACCUCGCAAGAGGGUGGCCGAUCGGGAGCUCUGCGCUUUCAAACCGUCUUCGGACAAUUUCUGACAUCUUGACCUCAAAUCGAGUAGGACUACCCGCUGAACUUAAGCAUAUUAAUAAGCGGAGGA